rnacentral:rRNA from 1 species
GUCUACAGCCAUACCACCCUGAACGCGCCCGAUCUAGUGUGGUCUCCCAAGCUAAGCAGGUUCGGGCCUUGCAUGGGAGCAGGUAAGUACUUGCAUGGGAGACCGCCUGGGAAUACCGGGCGCUGUAGGCU